rnacentral:rRNA from 1 species
CCUACGGGAGGCUGCAGUGAGGAAUAUUGGUCAAUGGACGAGAGUCUGAACCAGCCACGUAGCGUGAAGGAUGACUGCCCUCUGGGUUGUAAACUUCUUUUAUAUGGGAAUAAAAUGUUCCACUUGUGGGAUUUUGUAUGUACCAUAUGAAUAAAGAUCGGCUAACUUCGUGCCAGCAGCGGAGGUAAUACGGAGGAUCCGAGCGUUAUCCGGAUUUAUUGGGUUUAAAGGGAGCGUAGGUGGAUUGUUAAGUCAGUUGUGAAAGUUUGCGGCUCAACCGGAAAAUUGCAGUUGAAACUGGCAGUCUUGAGUACAGUAGAGGUGGGCGGAAUUCGAGGUGUAGCAGUGAAAUGCUUAGAUAUCUCGAAGAACUCCGAUGGCGAAGGCAGUUCACUGGACUGCAACUGACACUGAGGCUCGAAAGUGUGGGUAUCAAACAGGAUUAGAUACCCCUGUAGUC